rnacentral:rRNA from 1 species
AUUGAACGCUGGCGGCAUGCUUUACACAUGCAAGUCGAACGGCAGCGCGGGCUUCGGCCUGGCGGCGAGUGGCGAACGGGUGAGUAAUACAUCGGAACGUGCCCAGUAGUGGGGGAUAGCUCGGCGAAAGCCGGAUUAAUACCGCAUACGACCUGAGGGUGAAAGCGGGGGAUCUUCGGACCUCGCGCUAUUGGAGCGGCCGAUGGCAGAUUAGCUAGUUGGUGGGGUAAAGGCCUACCAAGGCGACGAUCUGUAGCUGGUCUGAGAGGACGACCAGCCACACUGGGACUGGGACACGGCCCAGACUCCUACGGGAGGCAGCAGUGGGGAAUGUUGGACAAUGGGCGAAAGCCUGAUCCAGCAGUGCCGCGUGUGUGAUGAAGGCCUUCGGGUUGUAAAGCACUUUUGGCGGGAACGAAAAGGACUGUGCCAAUACCACGGUUCGAUGACGGUACCCGCAGAAUAAGCACCGGCUAACUACGUG